rnacentral:rRNA from 1 species
AUGGGAAUUCGAGUGAUGGCCUCUGGGUCAACCUCCCACCCGUGUUUAUUUUACCUUGUUGCUUCGGCGGGCCCGCCUUAACUGGCCGCCGGGGGGCUUACGCCCCCGGGCCCGCGCCCGCCGAAGACACCCUCGAACUCUGUCUGAAGAUUGUAGUCUGAGUGAAAAUAUAAAUUAUUUAAAACUUUCAACAACGGAUCUCUUGGUUCCGGCAUCGAUGAAGAACGCAGCGAAAUGCGAUACGUAAUGUGAAUUGCAAAUUCAGUGAAUCAUCGAGUCUUUGAACGCACAUUGCGCCCCCUGGUAUUCCGGGGGGCAUGCCUGUCCGAGCGUCAUUGCUGCCCUCAAGCACGGCUUGUGUGUUGGGCCCCGUCCUCCGAUCCCGGGGGACGGGCCCGAAAGGCAGCGGCGGCACCGCGUCCGGUCCUCGAGCGUAUGGGGCUUUGUCACCCGCUCUGUAGGCCCGGCCGGCGCUUGCCGAUCAACCCAAAUUUUUAUCCAGGUUGACCUCGGAUCAGGUAGGGAUACCCGCUGAACUUAAGCAUAUCAAUAGAACGGAGGAA